UACGUAGGGUGCAAGCGUUGUCCGGAAUUAUUGGGCGUAAAGAGCUCGUAGGCGGUUUGUUGCGUCGGCUGUGAAAUCCCGAGGCUCAACCUCGGGUCUGCAGUCGAUACGAGCAAACUAGAGUGUUGCAGGGGAGACUGGAAUUCCUGGUGUAGCGGUGAAAUGCGCAGAUAUCAGGAGGAACACCGGUGGCGAAGGCGGCUUUCUGGACAGUAACUGACGCUGAGGCGCGAAAGCUAGGGGAGCAAACAGG
rnacentral:rRNA from 1 species